rnacentral:rRNA from 1 species
UACGUAGGUGGCAAGCGUUGUUCGGAAUUAUUGGGCGUAAAGGGCGCGUAGGCGGUCUUGUAAGUCAGCUGUGAAAGCCCGGGGCUCAACCCCGGAGGGUCGGCUGAUACUGCAGGACUGGAGUACGGAAGAGGUAGCUGGAAUUCCCGGUGUAGCGGUGAAAUGCGCAGAUAUCAGGAAGAACACCCGUGGCGAAGGCGGCUCUCUGGGACGGUACUGACGCUGAGACGCGAAAGCGUGGGGAGCGAACAGG